AACGAACGCUGGCGGCAUGCCUAACACAUGCAAGUCGAACGAGACCUUCGGGUCUAGUGGCGCACGGGUGCGUAACGCGUGGGAACCUGCCCUUAGGUUCGGAAUAACUCCCCGAAAGGGGUGCUAAUACCGGAUAAUGUCUUCGGACCAAAGAUUUAUCGCCUUUGGAUGGGCCCGCGUUGGAUUAGCUAGUUGGUAGGGUAAAAGCCUACCAAGGCGACGAUCCAUAGCUGGUCUGAGAGGAUGAUCAGCCACAGUGGGACUGAGACACGGCCCAGACUCCUACGGGAGGCAGCAGUGGGGAAUAUUGGACAAUGGGCGAAAGCCUGAUCCAGCAAUGCCGCGUGAGUGAUGAAGGCCUUAGGGUUGUAAAGCUCUUUUACCCGGGAUGAUAAUGACAGUACCGGGAGAAUAAGCUCCGGCUAACUCCGUG
rnacentral:rRNA from 1 species